rnacentral:rRNA from 1 species
UACGUAGGUGGCAAGCGUUGUCCGGAUUUACUGGGCGUAAAGAGCGCGCAGGCGGUCGUACAAGUCGCGUGUGAAAGCCCCCGGCUCAACUGGGGAGGGUCACGCGAUACUGUUCGACUCGAAGGCAGGAGAGGGAAGCGGAAUUCCCGGUGUAGUGGUGAAAUGCGUAGAUAUCGGGAGGAACACCAGUGGCGAAGGCGGCUUUCUGGCCUGUUCUUGACGCUGAGGCGCGAAAGCUAGGGUAGCAAACGGG